UUCUUGGGGGGGGAGGGUUAAGGGGGUGGUGUUGAACAUUCACGUCACCGUGGCAACUGGCCUGCCAAAAGACACCCAGAUCGGGAGAGCCAGUUCCAAAGAGAGAGAGGGUGAGUAACCCACAUGAUGCAGUCGUCGUGGGAACCAGCUCCUUCCCACCUCACUCUUCCCCCUUCCUCUCUGCCAGCUUGAGAAGAUGGGAGCCUUCUUCCCACCCACCCCCACACCGGCUUUAACCCAGGGAAAGGACACCCCAGCCAGCAGAGGACUCUCCCAUGUCGCUCUCGUCAACCUAGCCACCAAGAGGCCAGAGGGCCAGGGGCAGAAAGGAUUACAGGGGCCCAACAGGGGUCACUCAGGACGGAGCAAAGGGUCCCAGCCCUGCCCAGAGCCCGUGUUGCCCACAUGGUCAACAACAAAGUGGCUUCCUGAGUUGGGGGCUUUGUCGUAGCCUUUUUCACGCCAGCCCCAGGUGUGAUGUCUGUGGCCCCCCUCGGGUUUGCCCGCUCGGUCUAAAGCCCCAGUCAUGCUGCCGAUAAUGGUGUUCACGGUGACUGGGCCCCAAGCCAGACACUACGCAAACGUUACCUCACUGAAGCCUCUCACAAGCUGCGGGGGCUGGCAUUAUUCUUCCCUUUUUAUCAGUGAAGGGACUUGGGCUCAGAGAGCCUCAGUAACCUUCCUAAGAUUACACAGUGAGGACCGCCUGGGUUUGGACCAGACCUGUCUGACUCCUGACUAUCGCCCAUAAGCAUUCCAUUACCCUGCUUCCUUCAAGGAGGUGAUGAGCCAGAUGCCCCCUGCACCCCCUCCACUCACCCGGUGCUUGAACUUGUUGGAGUUCUUGUUCUCCUUCUUGUUCAGGUCAAUGAAGUAAUGGGUGACCCUCUCCAGGUCACUGUUCUCCAUGGACCAGGAGAUGCGGAAGGAGUCACAGGUGAUGUUGUUGACCUCGAUGCUGUGGGGUGUGGACAGCAGCUCCAUGCUCCCCUCUGGCUUGGCUCCUGUGGGGACUGAGGGGAGAGGAAGCAUUAGCCCCUUCCUCCCCACCAGAGUUUUCUGGAAUGUCUUGCUCCCAACAUCCCUUGCAAACUGGAACCUUGGGAAGCCACUGAUUGCACCUGCCUCAUGCCAUCUGACGGGGAGAUUGCACGCAAAGAUGGAGAGAGCUGAUCCUCUGUUGCUUGACACGUUUGCAUAAUUCCUUUUACCUUUGGCAUCUAGGACAGGCCAAUAUGUGGUGAUGAUUGCCUGAGCAUCAUCUCCUGCAACCCUCACAAUAGGUAUGAAAGGACCACACCGCUGGCACUCACCUGUGCUUCAGCGAGGAAGAACAGAUUCUGCCCUUGACUGUGGCCUGGAUCACGAGCUCUGGGGAACAGGGUGGGGGAGGGACCAGGAGGGGCGGGGCUGUGUCUGGGACAAGAACAUGAACGUGGGUUGGACUUGCUCCCGGGCAUUUGCUUAAUGCCCCGUGGAGCUCAUGCUUUCCUAGUUCUUUCUCAAGCCCCGUCCCAGCACACCUCAGCUUUCUGGAAUGUUGUUUCCUUUCCUCCUGCUUCAGCUUCUUCUCCUCUCUUUGCCCAGGCGAUAAGGGUGAGGGUACCUUGUGCCUUCGAAAGCAGGUACUUCUAUUUAUAGCUUCCAGAAGAUCCAACCCACACUUGCCUGUCAGUUAAGCCUGUUGUGAGCCUGGUACCUCUAAAUUCAUCCGUGGGCUGCCUGAGUGACAGGCACAGGGGGAAGGAUAUGGGUGACAGCCUUUACCUGUUCUGGGGUGUCCCCUGAGCCCUUGCUUCACCUUGGCUUCCUAUCCUAAAGCAUGAGCCUGCCUGUUGUGAAGUUCAGCCAAAUGUCAGUGGCUUGUGCACAGAGAAUCCUACAGUAAACAAGCAUGGGGGUACUAUCUGGUCCACCCCAAAAUAAAGCAGAAUAGGAUGGGGAAACAACUGUAUGAUAAUAAACCAGUUUACAAUUCACGGGGACAGAUGUGGAGACUUUGGGAGUUGCCAUCCUCUGGGCUCCCAGUGAGGAGCUCCCCAGGGAGACACACGCAUGCACCCACAUGCACAUACACACAUGCACCGACAUGACACACCAACAUAGACACACUCCCACCCUAGAGAGAGCCUGAGUGAUCACCUCCCACCCACACGGGAUUCAGUCGAUGCCUACCCCACAGCGGGGUACCUAUUCCUGCCUCAGUAUUCCUCUCCUUAGAGUCUCCCCCAGAGACAGGGGUAGCCAUGUUUGGGGGGGGUCCAGGACCUGGUUCAUCCUUUCCUUUCUACAGUUCUAGAAGAGCUGAGGUUACUCCCCGGUGCUCGCUUGGGAGAGUGGUCUUGAGUGACACUUUGGAGAACAGCAAAGCCAGAGUGGGCUGAGGGUGGGUGUGAGCCCCAGUUCUCUAAGGCCAGGUGAGUGGGGAAGGUGAGGGUGUGAGGGACAGGUUGAGACAGCACCUGAGAAACACCCACACUGCCAAGACAAGCAUUUACACACCCACACUCAGGCAGGCACAUGAGUGCACACGCAUACACACAUGCACCGAAUGUGCCCACCCGCACCUGCCACGCAGGGCUGCACAUACCUUCUCAGACAUUCUCGGUCCCAUGC